AGCUUUGUUUCAGUUUCUCUAUGCCCUAACCUUGCCUGUUGGAAAACUAGUCGUCAACUACGUUGAGCAGAACCACAAGGACAAAAUGAAGAUCUUUAUGGCAAAGUAUUACUGUGUGAGAUUGCAUGCUUUAUUCGGUGCUGCUUUGGCAGCUGGACUGGUAGUAGCCAGAACCAUCGCUGGAAAAUAUGUUGACAUGACGGUUUUUCUCUGAUUUUCCACUCCAUAGAUUUCAAAAUCUGCCUGGAAAUAUAUGAUGCCCAUUGAGUCCAUACCUUUCCAUCAAAUCAUCUGCUUUAAGAAUGUCGACAAACUUCA